GAUGAACGCUGGCGGUAUGCUUAACACAUGCAAGUCGAACGGUCACUUCGGUGAUAGUGGCGGACGGGUGAGUAACGCGUGAGAAUCUGUCUUCAGGUCGGGGACAACAGUUAGAAAUGACUGCUAAUACCGGAUGUGCCUUUGGGUGAAAGAUUUAUUGCCUGAAAAAGAGCUCGCGUCAGAUUAGCUAGUAGGUGGUGUAAGAGACUACCUAGGCUCCGAUCUGUAGCUGGUCUGAGAGGACGAUCAGCCACACUGGAACUGAGACACGGUCCAGACUCCUACGGGAGGCAGCAGUGGGGAAUUUUCCGCAAUGGGCGAAAGCCUGACGGAGCAAUACCGCGUGAGGGACGAAGGCUUUUGGGUCGUAAACCUCUUUUCUCAAGGAAGAUGAUGACGGUACUUGAGGAAUAAGCAGCGGCUAACUCUGUG
rnacentral:rRNA from 1 species